CCAGCCAAGGGUCCGGAGUCACUUACUUCCUGUUCAUCCAUCAGGUGGAUGGGCUGAACUCCACCUUCAACACAACACAAACCUCAUAUGUUCUAACAGGGUUGCACUGUGGAAUGAGUUUCAUUGUACAAGCAGCUGCUCAGGACAGCACCUGCACCAGUCCGUACGGAAGCCCAACACAGAUCUACACAGCUCCCUGUCCACCCAGUAGCCUGACAGCUGCUGCUAGCUGUGGCACGAACAGGGUCACCAUCAGCUGGCUGAACGGCACAGGGGCACACUCCUAUACUGCCAGUGUGGUGGGAAAUAAUGGACCAACCGUUUCUUGUACAUCCAACACCACUUCCUGUUCUGUAAAGGUUGAAUGUGGACAUACAUAUAUAGCCACUGUGGUUUCCACGGUUGGCCUCUGCAACAGCACCACCAUCAACAGCAUCCAGUUUAAAUCAGGUAUCAAACUGCAAUUGCUUUUUAAGCAGACUUUUGUGCAAACUUGACAAAAUUGGUAAAACAUUUUCCUCUUCGUUUCACCUCCACGUGUGUCACAGCGGAUUGCCUGCCUAGUAAUGUGAUAGCGCAGGUAGGCUGCAAUUCUGACAUGCUAGCUGUACACUGGGACACCAGUACAAACAACGCUGACUCCUAUACAGCCCUGGCUAUUGGUACAGAUGGCACUCGGCUGUCCUGCAGCACAAGCUCUACUACCUGUACCAUUCAGAACUUAAGAUGUGGCCAGACCUAUAGCAUUGCCGUGACCACAUCCAACGUCAACUGUGGAGUCAUUGAGGGUUCAGACUACCAAAUUGAGACAGGUAAACUGACUAAAUUAAUUCUAAACCAACCCCAACCCCUUAAAAUGUAUAAAUGUAGCCAUUUAUCAUCUGUAUCCCAUCAGCCCCCUGUCAACCACAGAGCCCAGCUGUUCAACUGCAGUGCAGCACUAACAUUGCUACGGUAACAUGGGACAAUAAUGGAGCAGAUCAGUUUGACGUGGUGACUGCGCUCAACUUUACCGGUGGUGCGACAGUGUGUAAUAGCACAGAUAGGUCUUGCACGUUUGCACAGCUACGCUGUGGUGAGUCGUACUCACUCAGUGUAGUUGGAUUCACUCAGUGUAGUUGGAUUCAAUGGAAACUGCAACCAGUAGAACCUAGCGAGAGCUUCAAUCUUAAUACAGGUAAGACAAAUCUGCACACAGGUGAGGGAUACUUUGGCCUGAGACUGUUAUAGAUAAUAAAGACAAAGACUAAUAUAGCUGAUAGCUGUAUUAAUACAGCAGUUUUAAGAAUUUUCCACCAAACAAAUGUGAUAUAAUAAUAAAAUGUGAUAUAAGAAUAAAUAAAUAUUCCAGGGUAUAUAAAACUUAAAUGCAAACUCAGUUGGCAACAGAAUAUAAUUUUGAAAAUGUAUGUGAUGCGGCUUCUGUUGUUUUAAAGUAUAACCAUAACACAACAGAAACAUACUUUAUGAAAGCAAAUGCAGACAUGACACUUGUCCAAUGCAUUAUAUUACUCUUGAGUUUACAUAUGCCACCCACACACUACAUAAUUUAAGCUCUUAUUUUUAGUUUAAUAGAGUUAAUGGAGAUCAUCGAGAAAAGCACAAAACUGGAUGCAAAUUAAUUUUCAUUUUCAAGUGAAGAUCAUUUUGUUUGAACAAUCAAAGAUGUAACCACUGAUGCAUCUCUGGUGCCUGACAAAUAUUCUGCAGGUUAAAUAUCUAGACCUGAUCAUAUAGUCGAAAAUGUUUUUGACUGAAACUGACAUUAGCUGAUAUGGUUGUUCAGUGUGAAAAGAACAGCAAUCCAAAGACUUUGAAAGUAGUGUAUAGGCGGCAUUAGCAUAUAUUCUACAUUGCUCUGGUGGUAAUAAACUCCAGUACUCCAGGGGGCGAUAGCCCAGAGUUGCCAUGUUGACAGUUUCAAUAAAUUAAACUCACUCACUCAGCAAUAUUCUCUUCAAACUGUUGCUUAGCCAUGACAGGGAGAGAAAACUGACUAGAUGAAGAAAACUUGCAUUCAUGCCUGUUAUAGCAUCCCUUAAGGCAAUGAUAAAAAUGCCACAGACUGCUUCUGUGGUAACCAACAGCACAUCUCAAACUCAAACAAAGAUAUGUAGAGAGCAGUAUUCAUGAAGACACCACAUGACAUUAUUGGGUUUAUUCCUGAAAAUCACAUCCAAACUCUUGGUGGACACACAGCAGCCACAUUUCUUUGCUUCAAA
rnacentral:lncRNA from 1 species